ensembl:lincRNA
UGUUUCCCCAUCUGUUUGCCAUGAAGUGAUGGGACCAGAUGUCAUGAUCUUAGUUUUCUGAAUGUUGAGCUUUAAGCCAACUUUUUCACUCUCCUCUUUCACUUUCAUCAAGAGGCUGUUUAGUUCUUCUUCACUUUCUGCCCUAAUGGUGGUAUCAUCUGCAUAUCUGAGGUUAUUGAUAUUUCUCUCAGCAAUCUUGAUUCCAGCUUGUGCUUCAUCCAGCCCAGUGUUUCUCAUGAUGUACUCUGCAUAUAAGUUAAAUAAGCAGGGUUGUGCUACUGUAAAGACUCCAUAUUUUUAAAAUUUACAUGUUUGUUUAUUUGGAUGCACUGAAUCUGAAUAAGAUGGAUAUAUUGGUAGGGUUCAAAGGUCCAAUUUAAGGUGGUUUUCAAGCUGAAAUGGGGCUUCCCCAAUGGCUCAGCAGGUAAAGAAUCUGCCUGUAAUGCAGGAGACACAGUAGAUCAGAUUCGAUCCCUGGGUCAGGAAGAUCCCCUGAAGAAGGAAAUGGCAAGCCAGUCCAGGAUUCUUCCCUGGAAAAUCCCAUGGACGGAGGAGCCUGACAGGCUACAGUCCAAAGGGUUUCAAAGAGUCAAAGAUGACUGAGCAAUUAAGCAGACAUAAGCUGAAGUAGAAAGCCCUCCUUUCUGUCCUCCAGCCCUCCUCCCCACUCCUUCCACCCUCCCCAAUGGGCUGGGCUAUUGAGUGCCUGUCUCUGUGUGUGGGUGUCUGUGUAUAAUUACACUCUGCACAAAGACAGGGCUGAGUUUCACAUCUCGGUCAACUGGGUAUAGCCAUGAUAACAUAAGUGUCUUCUCCCUCAUCCUUCUCCUUGGGAAUCAUAGGAAUCUCAGGUCAGAAAAGAAGACAUCCAGCAGCACCAGCCUACAAAUAAGGACUGAAAACCAUGAUCUCCCAGGAUCCCUGUUUCUCUGUUUUUCCACUUUUAAUCUCUCUCCCUCUCACUUUUUUCAGCUCCUCAGGGUCAGAUGCUUUGUUCCAUCUAUUCCUCCCUGUCCCAGAAAACAGACCCUGGCUUUUCUGCUGCUUUCAGAUUACUUUGCUGGAAGAACUUGGUGUGAAAGGUUUUCUCCCUGCUCGGAGGUAAAUGGAAGCCUAGUCCUGUCUUUGAGCUGUGCCUGGGAACAUUCCGGUCCUGCCCCCAGGCCCAUGGAAGAUAAAUGUCCUGCAAAGGUGGGGCUGGUGUCUUUGUUCACUUUGUGGCUUAAACAGCAGGCGUUUAUGAUCUCUCAGUUCUGGAGGCUGCCAACCUGAGGUCAAGGGGCUGGCAGUGAGGGGCAGGGAAGGAGGGUCUGUUUCAGGCUCUCUCCUUCUUCCUGUGUCUUUUCACGUCAUCUUCCACCUAUGCAGGUGUCUGUGUCCCCAUUUCCUCUUAGGACACCAGUCAUGCAGGAUUAGGGUCCACCCCAAGGCCCUUGUUUUGACCUGAUUAUCUCUUUGAAAACCUUAUCUCCAAGUAAGGCCCCAUUCUGAGGUCCUGGGAACUGCAACUCUGACAUAUGAAUCUUGGGGAGGUGCAGUUCAACCCAUAAGAGCCAAUAAGUCUUAAAAAAAAAAUUCAUUGGCAUAGAGUUGCUUUACAAUGCUAUAUUACUUUCUGCUGUAUAGCAAAGUGAAUCAGCGAUAAGUAUACAUACAUCCCCUCCUUCUUGGACUUCCUUCCCAUUUAGGUCAGCACAGAGCACUGAGUAGAGUUCCCUGUGCUACACAGUAGGUUCUCAUUAGUUAUCUGUUUUAUGCACAGUAUGUAUGUCAACCCCAGUCUCCCAAGUCACACCACCCUGCCUUUCCCCUCUUGGUGUUCAUACGUUGGUCCUCUAUAUCUGGGUCUCUAUUUCUGCUUUGCAAAUAGGCUUAUCUGUACCAUUUUCUAGAUUCCACAUAUGCGCAUUAAUAUACAAUAUUUGUUUUUCUCUUUCUGAUGUGCUUCACUAUGCAUGACAAUCUCUAGGUCCAUCUGUGUCUCUUCAAAUGGCACAAUUUCGUUUCUUUCUAUGGUUGAGUGAUAUUCCAUUGUAUAUGUGAACCACAUCUUCUUUAUCCAUCCUUCUGCUGAUGAACAGCAACAGAGUAAGUCUUAAAUGUCAGCAUACAGUGCCGGUGACACUCCCACAGAUUCUGACUUGAUGGAUCUGGGGUGGAGAUCAGGACUUUGUGUUUUCACAGCCCCCGCCUAGGGUAAGUGUGAUGUGUCCCUUCACCCCAUAAAACGCUCCUAGAUUUCAGACAACAAAGCCAGCACCUUGCUUACUGAGGGCUUAUAAAGGCGUUGUGCUGAUCACCUCAAACUGCAAAGAAAUGACUUUCUCUUGUAUCUAGCUUUUCCUGAGUCCCCACUGCAGGGCCAGGCCCCGCUUACAUGUCACUGCACGCCCUCUUGAAUUUUCUAGUCAGACUCUUGUCACAUCUGGAGGCUGCCAGGCCCACUUUGAUAAUCACUGUCCUCUCUGACUGACAGGUGUAUGGUGUGACUUGAGCUUGGGACACUGGGGCCCAGCUCUGCUGCUUACUGGCUGGUUGACCUUGAACAUAUCCCUGGGCCUCUCUGAGGGGUGAGUUCAUAUGCCUCUGCAUUGAGGAGCUUCCUUGCCCAUUUCAGAGGGCCCCUGCCUGUACUGAAGGGUGCAGUGUUUUCAAAAGGUAGGUUACCUGGUGUGUAAAGAGGAUAGAGUGGACAUUGGUUACUAUUAUAAUCCUCUACUGGCCUCAGAUGGCAAAACCAGAUUUAGCUCAUUUUUUUGCAGUUUGAGGUGACUGGCACAGCAGGAGGAGGUGGGUUGGCCCAUGGGGUCCAGGGCUCCCUGUCUGACCACUGCCUCUGAAACUGGGAGAGAAUGAUUUCUGUUGUUUGAAGCCACCCAGUUGGUGGUCAUUUGCUAUGGCAGCACAAGGAGAACUCACAUUUGGGGUCCUCCAGGCUGGAUUUAGACCCGGGGAAGUGGCUGACCCCACCUCUAAGGGCCCAACCCUCCUGUGCUCAGCUCUGGCCACGGGUGGACAGCUAUGGCUGGUGGGAUCAAGGAGAAACAGUUUCCAGCAGCAGUACUGGAUGGCUUCCAGCAGCAAAGAUGUUUUAGACUUAAUGCUUUUCUCUGCUCAGGUGGUGUGGGUCUCUUGGGGUGAAGAGGGGGAGAUCCCUGAAGGAAGUAAAUGAAACUCCUGAGAGUUACACAGGGUCUGAGUAUUAAUGGUAAAAAAUAAAAGGGCUGUGACCAUGUGUGCACACCGAUUGGCGCAGUUUUUACUGGUCACACAGGACUGGAC